CCNUGGUAGUCCAUGCUGUAAACGGUGGGCGUUAGGUGUGGGGACCGGUUUGGUUUCUGUGCCGUAGCUAACGCAUUAAGCGCCCCGCCUGGGGAGUACGGCCGCAAGGCUAAAACUCAAAGGAAUUGACGGGGGCCCGCACAAGCGGCGGAGCAUGUGGAUUAAUUCGAUGCAACGCGAAGAACCUUACCUGGGUUUGACAUGCACCAGACGGUUGUAGAGAUACGUACCUCCCUUUGUGGUUGGUGUGCAGGUGGUGCAUGGUUGUCGUCAGCUCGUGUCGUGAGAUGUUGGGUUAAGUCCCGCAACGAGCGCAACCCUUGUCUUAUGUUGCCAGCACUUUGGGUGGGGACUCAUGGGAGACUGCCGGGGUUAACUCGGAGGAAGGUGGGGAUGACGUCAAAUCAUCAUGCCCUUUAUGCCCAGGGCUUCACACAUGCUACAAUGGUUAGUACAACGCGCUGCGAACCUGUGAGGGUGAGCGAAUCGCUGAAAGCUAAUCUCAGUUCGGAUUGGGGUCUGCAACUCGACCCCAUGAAGUCGGAGUCGCUAGUAAUCGCAGAUCAGCAAUGCUGCGGUGAAUACGUUCCCGGGCCUUGUACACACCGCC
rnacentral:rRNA from 1 species